rnacentral:lncRNA from 1 species
CAGUGAUGUCAAUGUGGCUGGUCCAAGAAUCACACUUUGAGAACCACUGCUUUUGGCCAAUCUCCAUGAGAGAAAGUUCUCAACCUCUGAUUGCAAGUUUAUUUUGACCAUUUACCAUAACUUCAACUUCAAUGCUCGUCUUGAAGGGCAUGACUUGUCAUCCUAAUAUAAUUAGCCCCUCUUCCAGCAGAUCAGACCCACAAUACGCCCCAGCCUCUGGAGGACACAGAGAGAAUGGAAGUCGUGGAGAAGAAAAGAGAAAAGUCUCAGAGGACCAGGAUAUACCCUCAGGACUAGCACUGUGCCUGCCGUAGAACGGGGCCUGCUCAGUGUUUUUUGGGUUGAGCUGCAUCUUAGAAUGAAAUCCUACAACUGAGAUGGCUAAAGGAAUUAAAAAUGGUAUCUGUAAUGUUAAAUUUCAGACUGCUGCACAAUAUGUCAGUUUUAGGUACUUUUUAAAAGAUGAACAAGUACAAGACUUCAAAGAAGUCUCUCCCUUGUGAAGGGUCCCUUCCGGCUUCACUUUAGAGUCUCUGCACUUUUAGUUCAUCUCAUUUGGGUGUUUCAAGGGAACAGAGAAGCCCUGGUUUAGAUGAUGCAGGGUUUUCUGAUGCCAAAGUGAGAAUGAUAAAAUGUCUGAAGGAAGAACACGAUGCUAUGCAUUCCAGGCAGAAUCUGGACUUGAAAACAAUGAAGCACAAAUACUUUUAGAUGAACUGAUUCACUUUUAUUUUGUAAACAUCCUAGAAGAAUUCCAUUUGCACUGAACUGUUUGAAUCACUGCAGAGCUCUUGCUCCUUCUAAUCCCCAAGGAAAGUCGAUCCAUCGCGUCCUGCUACACUGUAUUUCUUCACUUUGCCCCUUUUCUCAAUUCUUUGUGAUCAGCAUAAAGUUUGAACCGUGCCUCUUCUCGCCUUCCUGCCUGGCCACCUGUCCAGCCCUGCGGUCAGCUGUACCGACCAGCAGACGGUGCCUCUCUUGCCAAGUGGAGCCGAUGCUCUGUGACCAUUGUUCGUGGGGCCACACUGCCAUCCCCAUCGUUGCCCCUUCAGGACACUCGUCAACAGCUUUGCAGGAUGGACUCUGCUGAAAAUCAAGACUAGAAUUCACUGUUAAGUCAUGCAGGAUUACAAAGACAAUGGAAUGCACGGCCUCAACAGAUGUUCUUUGCAAAGUCAAAACUCCUAAUAUGAAAGGAAUAGGAUCCUGAGACCUGGAAUAAGAAUAUUUGAGUAAACAAGCCUGCAAAUAGUAAAUCUCCAGCUUUAUGAACACUCUGGACUCAAAGGAAAAAAUCAUCUCCCUGUUUCUAAACAGCCUGCUCUUAUGCAGAAAUGCAGCAAAGGC